GAAGGCUGUCCUUGGACGAGAUCCUCGCAAACCCGGUCAGGUCGGGAACGAAGCAGCCGUAACGAGUCUUUUUCGGGUCAGGGUUCAGUCUUCCAC
rnacentral:SRP_RNA from 1 species